CAGUAGCCGCGGUAAUACAGAGGGUGCGAGCGUUAAUCGGAUUUACUGGGCGUAAAGCGUGCGCAGGCGGUUUUGUAAGACAGAGGUGAAAUCCCCGGUCUCAACCUGGGAACUGCCUUUGUGACUGCAAGGCUAGAGUACGGCAGAGGGGGAUGGAAUUCCGCGUGUAGCAGUGAAAUGCGUAGAUAUGCGGAGGAACACCGAUGGCGAAGGCAAUCCCCUGGGCCUGUACUGACGCUCAUGCACGAAAGCGUGGGGAGCAAACAGGAUUAGAUACCCCAGUAGUCCCUGUCUCUUAUAC
rnacentral:rRNA from 1 species